rnacentral:lncRNA from 1 species
CCUGCAGACAGAUGCCAGAGGCAGGACGAGCACAGAUCCUGGGCUGGGGGGUGAGGCAGGCCUGUCCUCUGAGCUCCUGGCUGGGGAUCCAUCCCUCUGUCCCAGGGCACUUUCCCUGUUCUCGCUCUGCACUCUCGGCAUCAUCAGCAUCACAGAAACAACAAGCAAACUCUCUCCUCUUCCAGUUCAGAGGCUGUUUCAGAGACUCAGACAAUCUCCCUUCAUCCAAGAGGGCUGACCUCCGAACCCCCAACUCCACAGCCAUCAUCCAUGGUGCCAGCUGCUCGAGCCAGAAACCCUGGGGCAGAGGGAACACGAGGAGGGGCUGGAUCGCGCCCCCAGACGCACGUGCUGAAGCUUAAACCCUGAGCGGGAACUGAGAGUGCGAGUGUGCCCAGAGACCAGUAACUGCAUGGGGGUUAAGGCAAGAGGUGGUCACUGCAGAGGGGCCCUAACCCGGAGGACUGGUGUCCUUACAAGAGGGGCCACCGAUACCCAGAGGGUGGCCAAGUGAGGACACAGAAGAGGACGGUGUCUGUGCACCGGGAGGGGCCUUGACCACAGGCUUCCCACCUGCAGAGCUGAAGACAGGGAGCAUCUGCUGUUCCAGGCCCCAGUCUGGGCACUUUGUUACAGCAGCCUGAGCUGACUAAUACAGCCUCAUGUUUAAAAACAACUAAAGAUUCCAAGAUGACACAGUGGAGCCUGAAGCCAAGCACAGACCCUUCUGCACGCAUGCCUGCUGCUCCCUGCCCAGAAGGCCGGACCCCCCUGGGGUCAGCUCAACUGUUUUCUUUCUCACCCACAUCCAGCCGCCCUCAACUCACCCCACAGCCUUCAGACUCACCACGGUUAGAGGGAGAUCAAGGCCAUGGCCGUUCCUGAGCGUGAACAUGUGUUCCUGGGGUCUUUGGGUUCCAGAGUUCCGAAGGUCUUCCUAGACCCCAGGACGGUCUUUCCCACAGCUGUGCAAGCCUCGCCUCCUAUUUCCACCCUCUGCCUCCUCCAAGAGCCAGAACUCCUGACUCAGUGCCGAUGGAGACAGGCCUGCUGCUGGGAGUCACCAUCUAGGCAGAAGACAGGGCAGCUGGUGCCCCCGGGCGCCCUGCAUCUGAAGUCCUGAUUCUCUGUCUUCUCCCCUUAGAGUAAAAUGGCCCCUAAGUGGCCACUUAGGUGGCCGCUGGAACAGUCAGCAAACAAAGCACCAGAGACCACAGAUUUUAAUCCCAGAGUUGUUAUUGUGGGCAAAUGACUUCAUUUUUUAAAACAGUUUUUUCCUUUUCUAAAACAGGAGUAGAGUAAAAUCCCGUUUUUCCUUUGAUGAAGUGUCAUAAGGAAUGAAUGAAUUCAAGUUAUUACAAGGCAAUUUGGAAGUUUCCAUACCCAGCAAUACAAACUAUUCUGACUUUCCUUGACAAUAUAGAGAAUGGCAGGUCUAUGCGGCAUGUGGUGAGGAAGGCUGAUCUGAGAGUCCAAC